CAGGUAGCUGGGGCCAGUAAUUUUCUCCAGCCUGUGCUGCAAAAUUUACCUGAGCUCAUUUGUCAAGCUUUGAAUCCUUAAAUCCAUAACUCCAAUUAAUUAGGAAUCUCUAAUUACCCCAAAAUGGCACUCUGUAUUUAAGGCUAAGGUGUGGUGAAAUCCAGAGAAAGAAAACAUUAGAGAAGCUGGAGGAUAUUUAGAGCUGGAGAUGCUGGAAAAUGUGCAUUUUCAGAGCUCAGGGUACACAUAGGUGCAAAGGAAGCCCUGUGGCUCUACAUGUCAGUGGGACUGGAAGCAGGUCCUGAGCUGGUAGAAGCCACUGUCUGAUAUUCAGACAUCCAUCCUUGGGUGUCUCACAAGUUCCCUUUUUUCAGUAAGUAAUGACACCAAACCUCCCAGCAGGAGGUUCCUGCACCAGAGAUGUAUAACAAAGCAACCUUUAGGACUUAAGCCCAACUGUAUUUUCUGUUCCAGAAGCAGACUGGAUGAGGCUCUAGCUCUAUACAACUUUAAACCAGAAACCCCAAGGGGGAUGUUAUUGAAAACAACGGUGCAGACAGGUUCUGGCCCUGCCCUUGUAAGAGGAAAAAGCCCUUUCACAGUUGAGGUCUUAUUAUAUUAAGUUAAAAAUGUAUAGCUUUUAACUAGGUUGUAACCAGUUAAUGUGAUUCAGGAAAGGCUGUAAGGUGGAUAGAAGCUUUCCCUCUUUGCCUUGCUGCACAGGUUACUGUUUUUCCAGACCUCACAUGUGAGACCAGUUAACACAGGCUCAGCAAUUAGGCUGUGAAGUCACCUGAUUAAGUGAGGGGCAACAGCAGGUUUUGGGGCUGAUUGACUUCAGUAGGGCUGCAGCUAACAGCCUGAAACGCUACUUUCCCAGUUCUGCUGGGCUCCUUCUCUUGGACAAACCAGCACCAGCUUUUCAGCAAAGCUCUGAGUGGCAGCUCUUACUGCCUGGGAACAGACUCAUGUGGCCCAGUCAGGAGGAUGACAGCUCUGCACCACCGGUGGGGCUCCUGGUGGCCUGUCCCUGUGAUAUCCAGGCUGGGGGCCAUCAGUUGUGUUCCUCUGGAUUGCUUGUUGUCACUGAAGAUAGAUGCCUGGAGGUCUUGAUGGAACUUUCCCUCCCCAUUUCUCCUCCUCAGGCUCUCUUGUGCUGUGUUUUCAGGAGUGUUUACAUACAUCACAUAUACAAAACCACCAGGGACUUUACAAGACUCUAAAAUUGAUGUGGGUAACAUCCAGGUGUUUGUGUGACUGGUACUUACUGCACAAUGAGAAGUUGUUCUACUUUGGGAG
rnacentral:lncRNA from 1 species